CUUACGUCUGCUAAGUCUAGAACGAGCACACCAAACCCUUACAAAAUGGCAAAGAUUAAUUUGGUUAUUGCGGCUCUUGCCCUAUUCUGCCUGGUUGCUGUCAACGCUGGUCCGUCUACAGAAAUCAGGGCUGAAGGUUCCAGUGGUGGAAUACUGGAAGGACUUAAAUACGCUUUCCUGGUAGUUUUCCAAGUGCUUGUUUAUAUACCAGUAAUUAUUUACCAAUACUGGGCUAGGUUAUGGAUAUAAGCUCAAAUAAGGACGCCCGAACAUGUUUUAAAUAAAUCUAAGUAGCAUCAUUUAA